GGAUGUGAGGGGCAGUAUGGCUGUGACAUCUGUCACCCCAUCCUUGAUUGACAGAGUUGAUUCAGCUGAUCUGGCUGGCUAGGCAGUGUCCCCUUCCUCCCUUCUGGAAGCUAUGUGCUAGGUUGAAGAGGAUGACCAUCCCUGCUAGAGGAAAACUGUUCAAGGGUAUAAGAGUAGCUGCACUCUCCUGCUAGAACCUACAAACAAAUAAUAUGCCUAAGUAUAACUGUAGUAACAGCUGUGUAGAAAAAAUAAUGCAUGCUUAUGAAAACAUGUUACUGGGGACCUGACCUGGUU
rnacentral:snRNA from 1 species